rnacentral:lncRNA from 1 species
GUUUUUCUCCUGUUAAUCUGUCUGUCUGGGAAGUUGCAGACCCAGCCAGGGACCCUAAGAGGGCUGAGGAAAACAUUUUCCUCCCCACAGUUACAAGAGCCAAUGCGUCCCCUGCUUUUUCCUUUUAGGUAGUGCAGGCCAGGUCCCCACCCUGCAGUCAACGGAGCCCCAGGAACGAACACAAUGUCUAGCCAGGGCUGGAAUAAUUCAGGAAGGUGGCCGUGAAGGAUGGAGGGGAGAGAGAGCAGCCCAAGUGGAGAGGAAGACAGGAAAGAAGGCUCUAGAGAGACCUUCUCUGAGUUCCCAUUUUUAAAAUGUCUGAAAACUUGCUCACCGUCGAGACCCCUGCUCUGGGGAGGAGGAAUGGCAGCUAAAGGACCUGAAAUCUCUACUUUUCUGAAUCUGUGUUGGACACCCCAGCCAGCAGCUUCUGAAUCGUAAACCAGACAAAGUGGUACAUAAUGGUGCAACUCACAAUCGAUGGCAUUGUCAAUUGGAUGAAACACAGCAGUACCUCUCACAGACUGAAUGGCAUUAGGUAUCAGCCACAGAUCCAAUCUGAAGAUAGCAGACUUCCAGCUAAUUCCUUACGCUCUGUUUUGGACCCCUGUGCUUUGGAACAGCAACCAGUCCUGUCUCUGACUCUUCAUCGCCACUGUCCACCCCUUCAGCAUCCACCGCCCUGAAGCUCACGCUACCUGCCUGCCCCCUCCUUCACUUCCUCCACUCAGGAAGAUGACAGAAGCCAUUUAUCU